AUGGUCCAGGGGAAGGAGCCUGUGCUCCUGAACCUGCCCGGCUGUGGGUGCAGCCUUGGACCAGGCAGCCCAACCCUGACCUAAGUAAAAAUUUUCCUGGGCUCUGAAUGUGCGAUCAUAGGUGUGACCAUUCUGGCCGCAGUUUGACGAUCACUUAUGAUAUUGCAAAUAGGA